UACAGGGGGUGCAAACGUUGCUCGGAAUCAUUGGGCGUAAAGCGCACGUAGGCGGUUCGUUAUGUCGGAUGUGAAAGCCCUUGGCUUAACCGAGGAAGUGGCAUCCGAAACUGGCGAAGCUAGAGUACUAAAGAGGAUCGCGGAAUUCCCGGUGUAGAGGUGAAAUGCGUAGAUAUCGGAAGGAACACCUGUGGCGAAAGCGGACUCACUGGACCAUUACUGACGCUGAGGCACGAAAGCUAGGGAGCAAACAGG
rnacentral:rRNA from 1 species